GGUCAUUUAGAGGAAGUAAAAUUCGUAACAAGGUUUCCGAAGUGAACCUGCGGAAGGAUCAAUUUUGUUUAAAACUUGAACAGGGCUGUUGCUGGCCCUCAACUGAGGGUGUUGUGCACGCCUUGUCUCAUCUUUAUUUCUCCAACUUGUGCACAUUUUGUAGAUCCCUGGGAUGCCUUUUUAUGAAUUAUGGUUCGAGUUGGGACUGCUGUUGCUUUGCUCUUUGAAAGAGGCCAGCUCUUCCUUUGCAUCUCCAGGGUCUAUGUCAAUCCUUCACAACCCCUAGAAUGUGUUUAGAAUGUUGAUAAAAAAAAGUGAAAUAUAAUACAACUUUCAGCAACGGAUCUCUUGGCUCUCGCAUCGAUGAAGAACGCAGCGAAAUGCGAUAAGUAAUGUGAAUUGCAGAAUUCAGUGAAUCAUCGAAUCUUUGAACGCAUCUUGCGCUCCUUGGUAUUCCGAGGAGCAUGCCUGUUUGAGUGUCAUUUAACUUAUCAACCACUUCAGAUUCUGGAUGUGGCUUGGAUGUGGGGGAAUAUCUUUGCAGGCCUUUUUUUGCAAAAGAAGGGUCAGCUCCUCUGAAAUGUAUUAGUGGCAUCUGAGCUGCUACUGUAGGUGUGAUAACUAUCUAUGCCUUCGGUAUGCUGCAUGAGACAGAUUGUGCUGCUUAAAACUUGGAAAAAAACCUUUGACAAACUUGACCUCAAAUCAGGUAGGACUACCCGCUGAACUUAAGCAUAUCAAUAAGCGGAGGAAAAGAAACUAACAAGGAUUCCCCU
rnacentral:rRNA from 1 species